rnacentral:rRNA from 1 species
CGGCUCCUAUCUUCGGAUAGAAGCGAGUGGCGAACGGCUGAGUAACACGUGGAGAACCUGCCCCCUCCCCCGGGAUAGCCGCCCGAAAGGACGGGUAAUACCGGAUACCCCGGGGUGCCGCAUGGCACCCCGGCUAAAGCCCCGACGGGAGGGGAUGGCUCCGCGGCCCAUCAGGUAGACGGCGGGGUGACGGCCCACCGUGCCGACAACGGGUAGCCGGGUUGAGAGACCGACCGGCCAGAUUGGGACUGAGACACGGCCCAG